ensembl:rRNA 5S_rRNA 5S ribosomal RNA
GUGUACGGACAAACCAGCUGAAGAAUGCCCAAUCUUGUUUGAUCUCAGAAGUUAAGAAGGCUUGGGCCUGGUUAGUACUUGGAUGGGAGACUACCUGGGAAUACCAGGUGCUGUAAGCU